rnacentral:rRNA from 16 species
GGUGCACUGUGAGGUGUGCUGGAGCGUACAGAAACGAAAAUGUAGGCAUAAGUAACGAUAAUGCGGGCGAGAAACCCGCACGCCGAAAGACCAAGGUUUCCCCGGCCAUGCUAAUCAGCCGGGGGUCAGUCGGGACCUAACACGAACCCGGAAGGGGCAGUGGAUGGACAAGCGGUUAAUAUUCCGCUACCCGCAAUGCGACAAAAGUGACGGGGCAGCUU